rnacentral:rRNA from 1 species
CGGAGGGUGCAAGCGUUAUCCGGAUUCACUGGGUUUAAAGGGUGCGUAGGUGGGUUGGUAAGUCAGUGGUGAAAUCCCCGAGCUUAACUUGGGAACUGCCAUUGAUACUAUCAGUCUUGAAUACCGUGGAGGUCAGCGGAAUAUGUCAUGUAGCGGUGAAAUGCUUAGAUAUGACAUAGAACACCAAUUGCGAAGGCAGCUGGCUACACGAAUAUUGACACUGAGGCACGAAAGCGUGGGGAUCAAACAGGAUUAGAUACCCUGGUAGUCCACGCCCUAAACUAUGGAUACUCGACAUACGCGAUACACUGUGUGUGUCUGAGCGAAAGCAUUAAGUAUCCCACCUGGGAAGUACGAUCGCAAGAUUG